ACGAGGCACUACGGUGCUGAAGCAACAAAUGCCCUGCUUCCAGGAAAAGCCUCUAAGCAUCAGGUAACAUCAAAUCGUACCCCAAACCGACACAGGUGGUCAGGUAGAGAAUACCAAGGCGCUUGAGAGAACUCGGGUGAAGGAACUAGGCAAAAUGGUGCCGUAACUUCGGGAGAAGGCACGCUGAUAUGUAGGUGAAGCGACUUGCUCGUGGAGCUGAAAUCAGUCGAAGAUACCAGCUGGCUGCAACUGUUUAUUAAAAACACAGCACUGUGCAAACACGAAAGUGGACGUAUACGGUGUGACGCCUGCCCGGUGCCGGAA
rnacentral:rRNA from 1 species